CUAGUAAUCACAGGUCAGCAUACUGUGGUGAAUACGUUCCCGGGCCUUGUACACACCGCCCGUCACACCAUGAGAGUUGGGAAUACCCGAAGCCUGUGAGCUAACUGUAAGGAGGCAGCAGUCGAAGGUAGAAUCAAUGAUUGGGGUGAAGUCGUAACAAGGUAGC
rnacentral:rRNA from 1 species